AGACGCCAGCAUCAGACCCUCACCAGCCGUGCCUUGAAACCUGGAUUGCCAUUGUUAGAAUAUUUGACCUUCCUUUGUUCACUGACUUCGCCUUUUGGAAGAUGACCUGACUUGCUUGGGUGCACAAGAUUGGAAAAAUGGGAAAUGGAGAGAACUGAAAUGGACUGAUCUCCCCACUCCUGGGGGCAGUACUGAAAGUGAAGCGUGGGAAGAUGAACAUUCUAAUGCUGAUCUUCGCGAGGCCUUCAUUGGAAAGCUGCCCACCUGUAGAAUUCCCUCCUGUUGGUGAUACCCAGAUUCCUCCUGUUGAUGCAUCUUUGGCUCCUACUGAAGACAGUAUAGUUUGGUAUAGGAGGGUUUAUAAGACAAUUGUGCUGUUGUUUUAUUCUGCAUUUUAUUGUCCAGUGUUCACUUUUGUUAGAGGGCGGUCUACAAAUGUAAUAAAUAAUAAUUAAACCAACAAUGACAACAAUCACACACACGAAGAGCAACGGAAGACUUAGGCCUCAUCUGCACCAUACAUUUAAAGCACUGCUAUACUGCUACAACAGAAAUGGCUCCCACAAAAGAAUCCUGGGGACUGCAGUGUGUUAAGAAUGCUGAGAGGCAGAAGCCCCUGUUCUCCUUGCAGUACUACCAUUUUCUUUGAGUGGUUUAACAAUCAAUCCCUCUUCCCACGGAACCCUGGAAGUUGUAGCUCUGGAAGGGGAAUAGGGGUCACCUUACCAAACUACAGUUCCCAGCAUUCUUUGGGGGAAGCCAUGACUGUUUAAAUUGCUUUUU